UGUCUUCAGGGCGGGGUGAGAUUCCCCACUGGCGGUAUAGUCCGCGAGCGCCGCUCGGCGCAGAACCGGUGUGACUCCGGUACCAACGGUAAAGUCCGGAUGAAAGAAGAUG
rnacentral:ncRNA from 1 species